rnacentral:rRNA from 1 species
GACGAACGCUGGCGGCGUGCUUAACACAUGCAAGUCGAACGGUGAAGCGCCUUCCUUUUUGGUGGGUGUGGAUGAGUGGCGAACGGGUGAGUAACACGUGAGUAACCUGCCCCCUCCUUCUGGAUAACCGCAUGAAAGUGUGGCUAAUACGGGAUAUUCUGGGUCUGUCGCAUGAUGGGUCUGGGAAAGAUAUUGUUUCGGUGGGGGAUGGGCCUGCGGCCUAUCAGCUUGUUGGUGGGGUGAUGGCCUACCAAGGCGGUGACGGGUAGCCGGCCUGGGAGGGUAGACGGUCAGACAGGGACUGAGGCACGGCCCAGACUCCUACGCGAGGCAGCAGUGGGGAAUAUGGCACAGUGGGCGCAAGCCUGAUGCGGCGACGCCGCGUGAGGGAUGGAGGCCUGCGGGUUGUGAACCUCUUUCGCCAGUGAAGCAGGCCUGCCUCGUUUGUGGGUGGGUUGACGGUAGCUGGAGAAGAAGCGCCGGCUAACUACGUG